rnacentral:sRNA from 1 species
AUACUGCACCAGCUGAGCAAUGCACAGAGUGGACCUGUAGGCGACUUGCAUCAUCUUCAACAUGAAGAUAGCCACAGUGUCAAUGCUUCUGCCCUUGGCUCUUUGCCUCAUCCAAGAUGCUGCCAGUGAGAAUGAAGAUCAGGUUAGUCCUGCUUUUUCUGUUCAUUGAAUUCAUUCCAAGAUUCCCAAAGAAAAAUGGUUUGUGGCCAACACCUUCAUGUUAAUAAUACAAACAUAUUAUACUGGAAAUAUGCCAUGAAUUUCAGGCAUUUAUGAAAAAUGGAAAACUGUUCUGUCCCCAGGAUAAGAAAUUUUUUCAAGGUCUUGAUGGAAUAAUGUUCAUCAAUAAAUGUGCCACAUGCAAAAUGAUACUGGAAAAAGAAGCAAAAUCACAGAAGAGGGCCAGGCAUUUAGCAAGAGCUGCCAAGGCUACUGCCCCAACAGAGCUGAAUUGUGAUGAUCUUAAAAAAGGAGAAAGAGAUGGGGAUUUUAUCUGUCCUGAUUUUUAUGAAGCUGUUUGUGGCACAGAUGGGAAAACAUAUGGCAACAGAUGUGCACUGUGUGCUGAGAAUGAGAAAACUGGGUCCCAGAUUGGUGUAAAAAGUGAAGGGGAAUGUAAGAGCAGUAAUCCAGAGCAGGAUGUAUGCAGUGCUUUUCGGCCCUUUGUUAAAGAUGGAAGACUUGGAUGCACAAGGGAAAAUGAUCCUGUUCUUGGUCCUGAUGGGAAGACGCAUGGCAAUAAGUGUGCGAUGUGUGCUGAGCUGUUUUUAAAAGAAGCUGAAAAUGCCAAGCAAGAGGGUGAAACUAGAAUCCGACGAAAUGCUGAAAAGGAUUUUUGCAAGGAAUAUGAAAAACAAGUGAGAAAUGGAAGACUUUUUUGUACACGGGAGAGUGAUCCAGUCCGUGGCCCUGACGGCAGGAUGCAUGGCAACAAAUGUGCCCUGUGUGCUGAAAUUUUCAAGCGGCGUUUUUCAGAGGAAAACAGUAAAACAGAUCAAAAUUUGGGAAAAACUGAAGAAAAAACUAAAGUUAAAAGAGAAAUUGUGAAACUCUGCAGUGAAUAUCAAAAUCAGGCAAAGAAUGGAAUACUUUUCUGUACCAGAGAAAAUGACCCUAUUCGUGGUCCAGAUGGGAAAAUGCAUGGCAACUUGUGUUCCAUGUGUCAAGCCUACUUCCAAGCAGAAAAUGAAGAAAAGAAAAAGGCUGAAGCACAAGCUAGAAACAAAAGAGAAUCUGGAAAAGCAACCUCAUAUGCAGAGAUUUGCAGUGAAUAUCGAAAGCUUGUGAGGAACGGAAAACUUGCUUGCACCAGAGAGAACGAUCCUAUCCAGGGCCCAGAUGGGAAAGUGCAUGGCAACACCUGCUCCAUGUGUGAGGUCUUCUUCCAAGCAGAAGAAGAAGAAAAGAAAAAGAAGGAAGGUGAAUCAAGAAACAAAAGACAAUCUAAGAGUACAGCUUCCUUUGAGGAGUUGUGUAGUGAAUACCGCAAAUCCAGGAACAACGGACGGCUUUUUUGCACCAGAGAGAAUGACCCCAUCCAGGGCCCAGAUGGGAAAAUGCAUGGCAACACCUGCUCCAUGUGUGAGGCCUUCUUUCAACAAGAAGAAAGAGCAAGAGCAAAGGCUAAAAGAGAAGCUGCAAAGGAAAUCUGCAGUGAAUUUCGGGACCAAGUGAGGAAUGGAACACUUAUAUGCACCAGGGAGCAUAAUCCUGUCCGUGGCCCAGAUGGCAAAAUGCAUGGAAACAAGUGUGCCAUGUGUGCCAGUGUGUUCAAACUUGAAGAAGAAGAGAAGAAAAAUAAUAAAGAAGAAAAAGGGAAAGUUGAGGCUGAAAAAGUUAAGAGAGAAGCAGUUCAGGAGCUGUGCAGUGAAUAUCGUCAUUAUGUGAGGAAUGGACGACUCCCCUGUACCAGAGAGAAUGAUCCUAUUGAGGGUCUAGAUGGGAAAAUCCACGGCAACACCUGCUCCAUGUGUGAAGCCUUCUUCCAGCAAGAAGCAAAAGAAAAAGAAAGAGCUGAACCCAGAGCAAAAGUCAAAAGAGAAGCUGAAAAGGAGACAUGUGAUGAAUUUCGGAGUCUUUUGCAAAAUGGAAAACUUUUCUGCACAAGAGAAAAUGAUCCUGUGCGUGGCCCAGAUGGCAAGACCCAUGGCAACAAGUGUGCCAUGUGUAAGGCAGUCUUCCAGAAAGAAGAUGAGGAAAGAAAGAGGAAAGAAGAGGAAGAUCAGAGAAAUGCUGUAGGACAUGGUUCCAGUGGUGGUGGAGGAGGAAACACUAAGGACAAAUGUGCUGAGUAUCGGGAACAAAUGAAAAAUGGAAGACUCAGCUGUACUCGGGAGAGUGAUCCUGUACGUGAUGCUGAUGGCAAAUCGUACAACAAUCAAUGUACCAUGUGUAAAGCAAAAUUGGAA